UACGGGGGGAGCAAGCGUUGUUCGGAUUUACUGGGCGUAAAGGGCGCGUAGGCGGUCAGCACAAGACAGAUGUGAAAUCCCCGGGCUCAACCUGGGAACUGCAUUUGUGACUGCACAGCUUGAGUGCGGCAGAGGGGGAUGGAAUUCCGCGUGUAGCGGUGAAAUGCGUAGAUAUCGAGAGGAACACCUGCGGCGAAGGCGGGUUGCUGGGCUGACACUGACGCUGAUGCGCGAAAGCCAGGGGAGCGAACGGG
rnacentral:rRNA from 1 species